UACAGAGGGUGCGAGCGUUGUCCGGAAUCACUGGGCGGAAAGGGCGCGUAGGCGGGAUGACAAGUCGGUCGUGAAAUCCCUGGGCUCAACUCAGGGGGGUCGGCCGAUACUGCCAUUCUUGAGGGAUGCAGAGGAGACUGGAAUUCCAGGUGUAGCGGUGAAAUGCGUAGAUAUCUGGAGGAAUACCGGUGGCGAAGGCGGCAUCCUGGACCGACAUUGACGCUGAGGAGCGAAAGCUAGGGGAGCAAACGGG
rnacentral:rRNA from 1 species